AUAAUAGUAACUUUCAGACCCGCAUUCUUCAGCUCCCUCAUUUCGUACUCCUCGGCCGCCACAGGACGAAUAUCAACUGCAUUGGACACACUCAACCCAUAAUUCUCCAAAAGCUUCUCGACAUCGCUCUCAAUUCCCAACUACGAAAGCCUUCUUUUGUGGCUGCCCCUCAUGAGAAUUAUGAAGCAGAAAUUCCAUCAGACUUCCAAUUAUCUUGUGUACUCCUUGUUACUGCCAACUCCAUCUGAAGCAUCGAAAUAGGCUUGUCCAGUGAUCUGUUGGGCCUCCCAAAAUUGACCCAAAAAUUUAACCAAAUAAUCAAAACAAAUCUCAAUAAAUUCACAAACAUAUUUCUGAACACACCCCAAAAGAACAUCAAAAUUACAACACAAAGGACUCAGAACUCACUGUAUUGCUUCAUGGGUUUUGUGAACUUCCCCCACCACAUCCUUAUUUUCUUCUAAUUUCUAAUACAUGAAACAAUCAAAGAUUCAGCAUUUAUACUUAUUAGUACACAAACCCAGAUAAAAAUAAAAAUAAAAAAAUGAACUUUGACUUAAAAUAUGAGUAGGCCUAGCUCAUAAAAAUUAAGUUUUGAUAAUAAAAAUUGUGUCUUUUACGCACACUUUCUUCUUAGUAUCGUAGUACUGAUUUGCAACUCUUGUUCACGUCUUUGCCUUGACAUGAGUUGACCGUUUGAUUCUGGCAGAGCCACAAUCUGUAACCCAGAUCAAAAUCACAAUUAGACCCAAAAAUCAUAGCUUUAUUAUAAAAUAUAUGAAUAAAUUAAAGCUAAACCCAGAAACAGAUCACAGAAAACAAUAGACCCAAAACCCAAAAUGUAAGAAUAAAUUAUAAAAAAAAUCAAGAGUCAGUAACAGAUUGUUCGAUUUGGAUCCCUGUUGAUGAUGCGGAGGCUGGUAGUGCUGUUGUUGUUGCAACGACUGCUGAUGUAGGUGAUGUUGAUGGUACGAUCGCCUCCGCCGAGCAACUGUUGUUGGGUCUGUUGUUCGGAAGUACUGAUCAAGAGAUGAAGAGAUGAGAUUUAUAGAGGAGGAGAUGAAGAG
rnacentral:lncRNA from 1 species